rnacentral:lncRNA from 1 species
AAAUUUCAAAACCUCUUAUUUUCUGCAACUCAAUUCUUGAAUUUGAGAGGGGCAAAUUAGGGUAGUUUCUACUCAAUUGAUCCACUAAAUUUGUCGGUAAAGGUAAGUUCAUUACUCCACUAUCUAGUAAGUUGAUUCUUAAGCCUUAGAAUCUAGGAUAUUAUUCUUGCGGAGAGGGUUUUGACUUGAUUUCAUGAUGGAGAAAGCCCUAGGUUGGAUAGAAUGAUCGUGAAUUGGCCAGUGGUAAGGAUACAAUUCAGGAAUAUUUAAGUCAUUUUUGAUUAGUUGUUGUAUUUUAUUAUUGUUUUAGAUCAAGAACAAGUCAAGGUAUUGAACAAGGGGAAAGCUUGGGUUCUUUAGAAAUUUCAAGAGGCUUGAUUCGAGGUAGAUGAUGGUAGUAUCUUUUACAAGUUAUGCAUGUUAGUGUAAAGUUUUAAUGACAAUCAACUUAAUACUUUUAGGACAAACUAUCCAUCAAAAAGGAAAGAAUUCAAUACGAAAAUAGUAGAUGAAGAAUCUCACAGCAACAUUGAAGAUCAUUAAUCAAGGAGGCUGAACUUCAAAUUGCAUAAAUCAAGGAAGAUCACAAAUCAAGGAAGAUCAUAAAUCAAGGAAAAUUACAAAACAGUUACCCUUCAAUUAGGGAAGCUGUAAGAUCACAAACAGAUCUCCAACGGCUACAUUCAAUCAAGGAAGUUGUAAGACUGAAUCAAACAAGAAAGGAAAAGAUCUCUAACAGAUAUAUUCAACCAAGGAAGCUGCAGAAUUAGAGACACAAGGAAAAGAUCUCAACGGCUACUGAAUCAAACAAGAAAGGAAGGGAUCUCCAACAGCUAUAUUCAACCAAGGAAGUUGCAGAAUUAGAGACACAAGGAAAAGAUCUCAACGGCUAUAUACAAUCAAAUUAAGGCUGAAUAAAAGGAAAUUGAAGUCUAGCCUUAAUCUCUAUUCUUGGAAAAUAAGGAUAUCUUGCCUUCUUUUCCAAGGAUCAAAUCUCUUGGGUUGCCAUCUCUUCACAUGAAAGAUUCAAG